rnacentral:lncRNA from 1 species
AGAAGACCAAGCACUUUGGAGUCUACUCAGGAGCAUUGCAUUUCUAUGUGGCAUUUUGCCUUUCUUGUCUAGGGAGUGAUUUUUACAGGAGCUCCAUCUGCUUAGUUUGCCAUAACAGAGGCAUUAACUUCUGGGAAUAAACUGCUCUCAGCUGUAAAAUGAACCCUUAGCCCCUGUGUUCAUGAAAUGGAUUGAGUUCAUUGUGGCACUGAUUUACUGUAACUAGAUGCAAGAUUGAUGCAUCCAGGAGAAACCAUUCCAUGUAUCUCAUCUGUCUCAGGAACUGCCCCUUUAAUCUCUUUACUAGAUUUGAUUGCUCUCUAACAAACCAACAGACACCUCUAAAGCAGGACACAAUGAAAUUUAGCAUUGAUAAAUUGCUCAGGGCCUUUUGUAAAAUCCCAGCCCAUGAUAUCAGGACCUUCUUUCCUUGUUCUGAAGAUCUUGAUGUUGGACUCAGAUGUUUCAUCAGUCUCUAG